UGUUGAACUGAAGCCUAUCUUCUUUAUAA
rnacentral:piRNA from 1 species